UAGGAAUUUGAGCUAAGCAGGUACCA
rnacentral:piRNA from 1 species